UCAACAAAUAAACAUUUCCAAUCCAUUCAAAACCGUAUCUUUACAAAUCAACUAGUUAACUACCAUUAUGUAUUAUGUUAUUUCUUGUCUUUUAUUCUGGUUCUUGCAUCAAAAUAAUAAGAAAUGUGUUUUCGACAUGCAAGUUCCCUGGAUAUUGAGUGAGGAAAACUGCAUGCAGCGACACACUGCGGGAUAUGAGAGAAGCUCAAUAACAAAGUUUAGAAGACUUAGUGACGAGAAUCCCAUGAGCUUUACGACCUCAAAAUAAUUCUACGUCUAGACGAGUAACGAUAUCUAUCAUUAAUAAAAAGAUGUCAUUCUCUACUAGUAUGGGUAUGUCAGCAAUUUUUAUGUAAUAAAUCACUUCCUUUUGCGCUCUUAAUGAUAUUUUUAGAGAUAAAUUACUUGUGUUAUGGAAAAAGCAAGAUGCAGUUUUAGCAUAAAUGUUUCAUUUAGACAUGAAACUCUAGAAAUAAGAUGCCUAAUUGGGUUUUCGCAGAUCUUUAAGUCUUGAAUUAUAAUUUAAUUGUUUUUAUUGUUAUUGAAAUUCAAGUGAUUUGAUUUUAAUUCAGUUA